rnacentral:rRNA from 1 species
AGUGAACGCUGGCGGUAUGCCUAACACAUGCAAGUCGAACGGCAGCACAGUAAGAGCUUGCUCUUACGGGUGGCGAGUGGCGGACGGGUGAGGAAUACAUCGGAAUCUACUUUUUCGUGGGGGAUAACGUAGGGAAACUUACGCUAAUACCGCAUACGACCUACGGGUGAAAGCAGGGGAUCUUCGGACCUUUCGCGAUUGAAUGAGCCGAUGUCGGAUUAGCUAGUUGGCGGGGUAAAGGCCCACCAAGGCGACGAUCCGUAGCUGGUCUGAGAGGAUGAUCAGCCACACUGGAACUGAGACACGGUCCAGACUCCUACGGGAGGCAGCAGUGGGGAAUAUUGGACAAUGGGCGAAAGCCUGAUCCAGCCAUACCGCGUGGGUGAAGAAGGCCUUCGGGUUGUAAAGCCCUGUUGUUGGGAAAGAAAAGCAGCAGGUUAAUACCCCGCUGUUCUGACGGUACCCAAAGAAUAAGCACCGGCUAACUUCGUG